GACGAACGCUGGCGGCGUGCCUAAUACAUGCAAGUCGAGCGCAGGAAGCCGUCUGAACCCUUCGGGGGGACGACGGUGGAAUGAGCGGCGGACGGGUGAGUAACACGUAAAGAACCUGCCCAUAGGUCUGGGAUAACCACGAGAAAUCGGGGCUAAUACCGGAUGUGUCAGCGGACCGCAUGGUCCGCUGAUGAAAGGCGCUCCGGCGUCGCCCAUGGAUGGCUUUGCGGUGCAUUAGCUAGUUGGUGGGGUAACGGCCCACCAAGGCGACGAUGCAUAGCCGACCUGGGAGGGUGAUCGGCCACACUGGGACUGAGACACGGCCCAGACUCCUACGGGAGGCAGCAGUAGGGAAUCUUCCACAAUGGACGAAAGUCUGAUGGAGCAACGCCGCGUGAACGAUGAAGGCUUUCGGGUCGUAAAGUUCUGUUGUAAGGGAAGAACAAGUGCCGCAGGCAAUGGCGGCACCUUGACGGUACCUUGCGAGAAAGCCACGGCUAACUACGUGCCAGCCGCCGCAGUAA
rnacentral:rRNA from 1 species